AAUGGCACUGGGGUACGAUCAUCUGCUGUGCUCAAUGCACCAAAGGUGGAGGUUGAAGGUCGUGACCGGACGAAGCUCUACACACUUGUAAGUGACACAAUAUAUGUAGCUCUACAUACGUGUAAGUAACACAAUAUCUUGUAGGAUAAUGAUCAGUGUGGUUUACAAGUUUCUUGUGCAUUGUGUUAGAUAAUAUGAAACAUGAACUUUGAUCCAAACAAAGCUUUAAAAAGUUGAUAACUCGUGCGAGAGGUGGUGUCUAGAAUAAUCAGCUAAAGUAAUCAUAGUGAGUGACACAUACGCUGAUCUAUACAAGUUCCUUACUCAAAGCAACCUACAUUUAGAAACCCUUAUGCACAAGUCUGAAUGAUGUUUCACUAAAAGGAUAUCUAACUUCCACAGAUAUGUUCCAUGGGUGAUUUUUUAUAAUAGAAAUACGAAAGAGAUAGGCCACACAGAAUAUUAUAGUGAGAACAAGAACAUCAAACAGUAACCAUUGGGAAUGAUUUAAGUACAUUUAUGGUACAUGCUACUUUAGAAUAUAUGUCUUCACCCCAUGUUAGUAUCUUGUUAGUACAGUGCUAUACAAGAAUAUUGGACAGAAUAAGCCCAAAUCUGUGUCUUGAAGUUGGGAGUUUGAGGCUCUCUGAUAUUAAAGUUGGCAUACAUGCAUGUUGCUAUGAACAUCAUCUACAUAACUGAGUAGACACAAAACCCCAGAAAUUUAAUCAGAAUGGCCCUGGAAUAUCCCAUAUCCCGCCUGAACCCACUAUAUAAAAGUACAUGAAAGAAGAUACCUGACCACCCUGCGUCCCACUAUUGCACUCUUCUUUUUGCUCUGUAGAGUUGUGCCUUGGCUCUUCUAUAAGGUAUGCAACUGCCUCUUUUGUCUUUAUCUCAAUGCUAAGAUAGAAACAUCCCCUCUUAUAAGGUUAUGGUGGAUCCUGACGCGCCAAGUCCAAGCAAACCGGAAUACAGGGAAUAUUUGCAUUGGUGAGCAUGUUAUAUUUAUUACACGGUACUGCAUAGUUUCUUCCUUAACCUCAAUGAUGACAAAUUUCUUAAGAAACCUAUGAGUGCUUCUUGCAACAUUGUUUUUAUGUUUAUAGUUCGAGAACCCCUUACCUAGAUAACCUGCAGGAUUGGAAUGCAGCCCUCUCGAAAAAGGAGGGGGGUGUUUCUUUUCCAUCCAUCAACAGCUGAAGAACUCUUGUUCUGUAUGCUAUUGGGUUGGUGACAGACAUCCCAGAGGCAACAGAUGCACGUUUUGGUGGGUAACGCGGCUAACGCCUUACAUAAUCUCCGAUAGUCGACCAAUCAUACAUGACAUAUGUAGACCGCUGAACAAUUUAUCAUAUAGCACAAUCAACAAAGUACUCAGAUUAUUUUGGUAUCACCAUCUUUCCUCAAUUGUUCCACGCACCCAAAAAAAAUGACAUUCAUUUACCAGGCUAGCAAAUAGACACGCUUCUCUGCUAUUCAACCAAGAUUGCAAGCAGAUUCUGAAAUUUUAAACAGAAUUUGAAAUGUUUUUAGCAGAGUAAACAGAAGUUCCAUAACAUGCCACACAGUCCAUGAGUUUACUAACUUUAUAAUCGCAUUUAGUGGUAGGCAAUCAAAUGAUUUAUCUCCUUUUUCUAUAUGCUUGCUAAUCGAAACAUUUUGUCUGUAGAUAGUCUAUAUUCAACUUCAAUAUUUCUAUGUUUAUGUCUGGAUGCAAUGGUGGAUAUGCAUCACAUGAUAUUGGCCUGUAGAGACCAACCGCACAUAUAGCUUAGAGGUUUGAGAAAAAGGUCAACAAAUAAGGCAUCACAGGGCAUUGCCUAUAUUUACUGAAUUUGCAGCGAGUGUGAAAGGAGCAGGCUCAGCAGUAAUGACACUGAACUACAGGAAAUAUUUACGGCAAACUGAUGAGGAGCUUGUCAUCCAAAAUAGUUAGAACAGUGGCAGUCCAUAUUGUGAAAUGGUCAAAUUUAUUCUUCACCUUAAAAAAAUGAGUUGUGCAAAGCAAGUCUAAUAUAGAAUAUACAAAAUGUUUCAGGCAAUGAAAUAGUUCCCUAUGAAGCUCCACGGCCACCAGCCGGUAUUCAUCGGCUUGUUUUUGUGCUAUUCAAACAGGAAGCACGGCAGACA